AUGGCGACGAGCGAGACAAUGGAGAUGAAAGCGGAGCCCUCGGAGGAGCGAGAGGCCCUCAACUAUGAAGAGGCCCCUGUGAUCUGCGCAGAGGAGAGUCGGCGGGGAGACGGCGAGGACGGAGACGCAGCAUCAGAGACGGGAGUCACAGCGGAGAACUCAAGCAGUUCCUUUGAGUGGAGCGGAGACGCCGCGGUCCAUAGAGCAGCGGAUGCAAGUGGGGACGUCGCAAAAGACGAGAGCACCAAAGACGACGUUAAAGAGGAGGAAGCGUUGGCAGCGGAAGAUGGAAAAGAUGUAAAUAAACAACGUGGCGGUGAUCUGGGAGAGGAGCAGACAGAAAAAACCUCCGUUGGAAUCGAUGAGGAGAUGGAGGAGAAACGUGACGAGGAAGAAAAGCAAACAAAUCCAGUGGAGAAAACAGGAGGUGAAAGUGAAAAGAAGGGUGAAGAUGAGACAGAAGAAGAAGAGAAUGAUGAGUGUAAGACAGAAGAAAGGAUAGAAAACCAGGAAAACAUUUCCGAGUGGGAUAAAAGUGACUCGAACGCUGAAGGAAAUGCAGAUGAAGAACAAGCUGAGGGAGACCACAGUGGAGACGAAGCCAAGUUUGCAAAUGAAGGGAUGGAAGAGGAAUCGGAAAAGUCCCAGAGAGACGAAGGCGAAAGACGAAAUAAAAAGGACGAGGAGCAAGAAAAGGGAGACAAAGAUGAGGGAGAAUCUGAAGAGAAAAAAGUUGUAACUGAUGAGCCGGCUGAAGGAGAAGAAAUAUCUGAGAUUCCACAGGAAUCUGAGAAGAAUGCAGACUUGGAUCAGGAUAAUGUGAAAACAUCUGAUGUAAAUAUUGCCGAGUCAGCGGAAUCCCCGGACCGGGAAGCAGCACAAGGGACAGAAACGGCUGAAGAGGUGCCAAAUAAUGCAAAGGAGGCUGAAGAUGUUAUGAAAGAAACCGAAGGAGGAGGCGACAACCGUGAAAAGGAAGAACUUGAUGCUGAAAACGACGAAAUGUCUGCCGGAGCAGAGAAGAGCGCCCGCGAGGGACCGGCCCAAACUGAGGCCGAGGAUGACGUGAACACAACGGCGAACACCGCAGACGGGAGAACAGCCGAGGAACCCACAGCAGCACCUGUGGCGUCUGGAGAUGCUCUCCAAGAACGCGAAGGAGACCAAGUUUAUGUGGAUGUCGGACAAAGCGAGGCAGUGGAAGAGAAGGGCGGUGUGGAAAAGCAAGAUGAAUCCACCGGAAACGUCUCGGAGCCGCAGGCGUCCGGCUCUAAAGUAACAGAGGAGUCCAAAUCGGAAGACCAAAAGGACGGUGACGCAAAACCGGAGGACAAUGGCAACAUUUCCGACCCUGGGAACCAAAUUGGAGAGUCAGAUUUGAUGAAAACGAGCGACAACCAGCAGAGAAAUGUCGGUGAGGUCGUGGUUGCUUCUUCGGCUGACCAGGUGCAAUCUUCACCAGACACCGCUGCGGAUCCAGACGGCUCACCGUACGGGUUAGACGAGUCCGCCGCGCCUUCUGGCGCUAGAACCGACGGGCAGCCGCCCCCUGACGGAGGAGACGCCGCCACCACCGCGGCAGGCCUCUCCGCUGCCGACGAAGACAACGGAGCAGACACCGAGGAGGCGAGCAAGGCCUCGGAGGAAGGGGCGAGUGUUCUGCUCAAGCCUCACAAAGCACAAAGCAACGGGGAAAAGGAGGAGAGCGAAGCGGCGGGGAGCAACGCUCCGCAGGCCUUGGCGAGAGGAGACAACGCGGAUCUGGUCACAAACUGGGUGACCGUGCAUCAGACGGCAAAGUACUUUGAGACGUUCGUCGAGCCCUUGGAGGACUUGAAGGAAUCGAGUCCGCUCGAGAUGGAGAGGGCGCCUGAAAGCGCACAGCGAGAGCACGCGCCACAAGACGAGACAAGGGACAAGAGCGAAGGGGACACUGUGGUGUCAAACAUUGAGAGCGAUCACGGCGAAGACGGCGAACCGCGUGAGGGAGACCGUCGGCGAGUGGACGAGGAGACUGAGACGAAAGACUCGACCCCAAAAACAGAGAGCGAAGGGAACGAUGCGAAGUCUGCGAGCAGGGAGGACGUGGGGUCGGAGGAGCACGAAGGAAGCGGGGGAUCUGUGGAGGAAGAGAAGGUGCAAGGAGGUGUCAUGCAGGACACCUCCGAGCGACCCGGCGCGUCUCAGACUGAAGUGGAGAGCAUCGCGGGCUCUCAUCGAUCGGUCACCAGCAGAGGACGCGAGAGCGUCCGAACCAAAGAGACGACGGACGAUAGUGGUCCAGAAAAGGCAACAACAGUUGGAGAGGCGAAGGAUCUCUUCCCGUCAUCAGAAACCGGGGAGCAUCGCGAGCGUCCGGCCAGUCCGGAGGGGCCCUCCAUGCCGAGAGAGACCGAACCCAACGAUAGCGAAGGAACCUGGGGUAAAAGUGGCGAACAAAGUCAAGAAGUUACGGAAAUAACGGAUUUCAAGUCCGACGACGGAAGCCAGGAGGGGAGCCGGCCGGAAGACGGGAGAUGUCCAUCGCCGGACGCCGCCACCGACGGAGGCAAAAGAGACGCGCAGCUGAUCGAAGACAUCAGGCGCACUCUCAGUAAAGACCUGCUGAGCACCUUCUCGGUGGACGAAGCCACGUUAGGUCAGAGUUCACGUCCUUUGCUUACGGAGAGCAGACAUUAG
ensembl:lncRNA